rnacentral:misc_RNA from 1 species
GAUGAAGAACGCAUCGAAAUGCGAUACUUGGUGUGAAUUGCAGAAUCCCGUGAACCAUCGAGUCUUUGAACGCAAGUUGCGCCCGAAGCCACUAGGCCGAGGGCACGCCUGCCUGGGCGUCACACGCCGUUGCCCCCCCAUCUACUCCUUCGGGAUUGCGGGGGGGCGGAUGAUGGCCUCCCGUGCGCCUAGCCGCGCGGUUGGCAUAAAUACCAAGUCCUCGGCGACGCACGCCACGACAAUCGGUGGUUGCGAAACCUCGGUUGCCCGUCGUGUGCGUUCGUCGCGCAUCGAGGGCUCGAAAAAAUGCUCGGCUCCGGCUGGGCUUUCAACGCGACCCCAGGUCAGGCGGGGUUACCCGCUGAAUUUAAGCAUAUCAAUAAGCGGAGGA